AGAGUUUGAUCAUGGCUCAGAAUGAACGCUGGCGGCGUGCUUAACACAUGCAAGUCGUGCGCGAAGGUGGCUUCGGCUGCCGGAGAGCGGCGAACGGGUGAGUAACACGUGGGUGAUCUGCCUGGGAGCGGGGGAUAACCUGGGGAAACUCGGGCUAACACCGCAUACGUUGGUUGGGGUAGUCCUGAUCAAGAAAGCUGGCCUCUGCUUGCAAGCUAGCGCUCCCAGAGGAGCCCGCGGCUGAUUAGCUAGUUGGUGAGGUAAAGGCUCACCAAGGCGACGAUCAGUAGCCGGCCUGAGAGGGUGAUCGGCCACACUGGGACUGAGACACGGCCCAGACUCCUACGGGAGGCAGCAGUGGGGAAUAUUGGACAAUGGGCGCAAGCCUGAUCCAGCAACGCCGCGUGGAGGAUGAAGGUCUUCGGAUCGUAAACUCCUGUCAGGUGGGACGAAGGUUGCGGGGUGAAUAAUCUUGCAGCUUGACGGUACCACCAGAGGAAGCCCCGGCUAACUCCGUGCCAGCAGCCGCGGUAAUACGGAGGGGGCGAGCGUUAUUCGGAAUUAUUGGGCGUAAAGGGCGCGUAGGCGGCUUUCUAAGUCAAAGGUGAAAUCCCUUGGCUCAACUGAGGAACUGCCUUUUGAAACUGGCAAGCUUGAGGCCGGGAGAGGAGCGGAAUUCCCAGUGUAGCGGUGAAAUGCGUAGAUACUGGGAGGAACACCGGUGGCGAAGGCGGCUACCUGGACCGGUACUGACGCUGAGNNGCGAAAGCGUGGGUAGCAAACAGGAUUAGAUACCCUAGUAGUCC
rnacentral:rRNA from 1 species